GGAGUGCUGGCGCAAUGGUAGCGCGCGAGACUUCUAAGAUGGCGCGGACAACACCGUGAGAAUCUUUAUCUCGAGGCUGCGGGUUCGAGUCCCGCGCAUUCCU